GACGAACGCUGGCGGCGUGCUUAACACAUGCAAGUCGAACGAUGAUGCUGGAGCUUGCUCCAGUUGAUUAGUGGCGAACGGGUGAGUAACACGUGAGCAAUCUGCCCUUGACUCUGGGAUAACUGCGGGAAACUGUAGCUAAUACCGGAUACUUUCACCGGAAGGCAUCUUCUGGUGAUGAAAGAAUUUCGGUCAGGGAUGAGCUCGCGGCCUAUAAGCUUGUUGGUGAGGUAACGGCUCACCAAGGCGACGACGGGUAACCGGCCUGAGAGGGUGACCUGUCACACUGGGACUGAGACACGGCCCAGACUCCUACGGGAGGCAGCAGUGGGGAAUAUUGCACAAUGGGCGCAAGCCUGAUGCAGCAACGCCGCGUGAGGGAUGAAGGCCUUCGGGUUGUAAACCUCUUUUAGCAGGGAAGAAGCGAAAGUGACGGUACCUGCAGAAAAAGCACCGGCUAACUACGUGCCAGCCGCCGCAGUAA
rnacentral:rRNA from 1 species